GUGCCAGCAGCCGCGGUAAUACGUAGGUGGCAAGCGUUAUCCGGAAUUAUUGGGCGUAAAGCGCGCGUAGGCGGUUUUUUAAGUCUGAUGUGAAAGCCCACGGCUCAACCGUGGAGGGUCAUUGGAAACUGGAAAACUUGAGUGCAGAAGAGGAAAGUGGAAUUCCAUGUGUAGCGGUGAAAUGCGCAGAGAUAUGGAGGAACACCAGUGGCGAAGGCGACUUUCUGGUCUGUAACUGACGCUGAUGUGCGAAAGCGUGGGGAUCAAA
rnacentral:rRNA from 1 species